UUACGACCGUAUCACGUUGAAACGCGGGUUACUGUACGAUCACCGAAGUUAAGCAGCAUCGAGCCUGGUCGGUACCUAGAUGGGUGACCGCUUGGGAAUGAAAGGUGCUGUAAG